rnacentral:rRNA from 1 species
UACGGGGGGGCAAGCGUUGUUCGGAAUUACUGGGCGUAAAGGGCUCGUAGGCGGCCAACUAAGUCAGACGUGAAAUCCCUCGGCUUAACCGGGGAACUGCAUCUGAUACUGGAUGGCUUGAGUUCGGGAGAGGGAUGCGGAAUUCCAGGUGUAGCGGUGAAAUGCGUAGAUAUCUGGAGGAACACCGGUGGCGAAGGCGGCUCUCUGGGCCUUACCUGACGCUGAGGAGCGAAAGCGUGGGUAGCGAACAGG